UAGAGAAGAGGAGGAGGGGCGGCGGCGGCGGCGGAGGAGGAGAAGCGGCGAGGGCGAGGGCGGCGGCGCGGUGGCGGCAGUCGGUACCGUGGCUUCUUCCUCUUCCGGGGCCGCCGCAGCAGGUUCGGCCGGUUCAGGCCGCCGCCGUUCGUCUUCUUCUUCUUCACCUCGUUCCCGUUCGUUUUCCUCUUCCACUUGUUGCGCCACGACAAGCUGGUCCGGUGGAUGCUGUUCGACGAGUGGCUCCACGGGUUCAUGUUCGUCUAGUGCGGGAGGCAGGAGAGGCUCGCGGAGUCCUAGUUGCCCAGAGACCGUGCGUCCCGAUAGUUCCUGGACUACCUCUCCCCUGAGUAGUCCUACCACAGUUAGGUGAGGUCGGUCGUCUAGAAGUGGUCCCGCUGUUUGUGGACUAAAUAGUAAUAGUACACAAGACCCAGACAAAAAUCAGGUCAUCUGACUCCACAACGACAAUGUAAGUUCAAGUGAUACAGGUCCCCCCGUGUGACACGGUGGUCAUUACAACUUAACGAAAACUCAAAACCAUGUGAAAUUCUAGCAAAACAGUCGCGUUACUUUAGAUGGAGUAUAUAACGGGAUAACACAGAAGAAUAAACAACGAC
rnacentral:rRNA from 1 species